CAGUAGCCGCGGGAAUACGGAGGAUCCAAGCGUUAUCCGGAUUUAUUGGGUUUAAAGGGUGCGUAGGUGGCCUGUUAAGUCAGGGGUGAAAGACGGUAGCUCAACUAUCGCAGUGCCUUUGAUACUGACGGGCUUGAAUGAACUAGAGGUAGGCGGAAUGUGACAAGUAGCGGUGAAAUGCAUAGAUAUGUCACAGAACACCAAUUGCGAAGGCAGCUUACUAUGGUUUGAUUGACACUGAGGCACGAAAGCGUGGGGAUCAAACAGGAUUAGAUACCCCCGUAGUCCCUGUCUCUUAUAC
rnacentral:rRNA from 1 species